rfam:Triticum aestivum genome assembly, contig: Triticum_aestivum_CS42_TGACv1_scaffold_221837_3B
CACAUACCCUCUCUGUCCGAAAAAGCUUGUCCCUCAAAUGAAUGUAUCUAGCACUAACUUGGUGCUAGAUACAUUCAUUUGAUGGACAAGUUUUUCGGACGGAGGGAGUAGUUG